GGCUUCCCCCACCCAGCUGUCUGAAGUGCUGUCACUGACAUACAUUCAUUUGCUACUCCCAUCUUGGAGGAUACACUUUUCUAACAUACUUACUAUGCUAAAGGAGUAAAAUCCCAUUAAUAAGAAUGGAAACAUGGGAGUGAUUGCCUUUGACAUAAGCCAGGGAAGUGGAGCUGUCACAGGCCAUCUAGACAUGCUGCCCUGGGGUCUCCCGUCACACAGAGGUGCCCUGGUACCUGCAGUGUCAUGCUGUCCUGGCUCUGGUCAGGACAGGGGUAAUUUUUUUGCUGUAGCCAGGAGUGGGCAUGGCUGGGAUGCAGAGUUCAUUCUGUACCACUUCACAUCACUGCCAGGGGUGGGGGAAAGGGACUCUCUUCUGAGAAGAGGUUCCUUGAAGUGGAGUAAGCAAGGCAGAGCGAGCUCUCUGGUCUACAAUCCAGGAUUUUUUCCCAUGGACGUAAUUUCUUUUCUUGUACCCUCUGUCCUUAGUAUUGUUGCUGUUACUGUUCGUUUUCUUGUUCCCUUGCUGUUUCCAGUAAAUUGUUCUUAUCUCAAGUUGUGACCUUUGCCUUUUGUGUCUCCAAUUCUCUUCCCCAUUCUGCUGCAGGGGAUGUAGAGGAGAAAAUGGGAGAGACAGUGGAGCAUGGUUUGGAGAGCCUUGGUGGGGGCACUGACCUGGGAAUUGCCAUUCCUAAACCAUGACAAGUGUAUACCAUACAACUGCUUUAUACCGUAGCAUUACUGAUCAAGGUAUACAUAACAAAUUCACAGGAGUGCACUGUCCCCGGGAUUGUUCAAAGCUGAGUUCAGGUUCCAAACCUGCCAGCUGUCAACGACACCUGAGUCUGUGCCUGGGAAUGCCAGUGAACACCAAGCUGGCAAACCCAGCCCCAGCAAACGCCGUGUGCUGGGCUGUGACCCACAGGAGGGGCUCCUCUGACUCUGACAGCUGCACUU